rnacentral:rRNA from 1 species
AUUAUAGCAAUAUUAUUAAAGAGAGUGGCGAACGGGCGAGUAACACGUAGAUAAUCUGCCUUCAGACGGGGACAACUCAGGGAAACUGUGCUAAUACCGAUGAGACCACAAGAAGGGAUUUUUGUGGCCAAAGGCGGGCAGCAAUGCUCGUGCUGAAAGAUGAGUCUGCGUCCUAUCAGCUAGUUGGUGGGGUAAAUGCCUACCAAGGCUAAGACGGGUAGCCGGCCUGAGAGGGUGAACGGCCACACUGGGACUGAGACACGGCCCAGACUCCUACGGGAGGCAGCAGUGAGGAAUUUUCCGCAAUGGGCGCAAGCCUGACGGAGCGACGCCGCGUGAGGGAUGAACAGCUUUCGGGUUGUAAACCUCUUUUAUUAAGGAAAAAGAUCUAUAUGCUAAUAUCAUGUAGAUUUGAUGGUACUUAUUGAAUAAGCCCCGGCUAACUACGUGCCAGCCGCUGC